UUUGACUCUUUGUCUUAUUUAAAACUUUUUGCAAUUAAUAUUUUUGUUGUUAUUAGAUGACAAAACAUGAAUAAUAUUUUAUGUGUUACUAAUUUUAUUUAUGUUUUUAUAUAUAUUUUAAAUAAGAUGGAUGGUCAAA
rnacentral:pre_miRNA from 1 species